rnacentral:rRNA from 1 species
GGAAUCUUCCACAAUGGGCGCAAGCCUGAUGGAGCAACACCGCGUGAGUGAAGAAGGGUUUCGGCUCGUAAAGCUCUGUUGUUAAAGAAGAACACGUAUGAGAGUAACUGUUCAUACGUUGACGGUAUUUAACCAGAAAGUCACGGCUAACCACGUGCCAG